CUGUUACUGGCCUUCUGAAUCAUUAGUGGAAAAAAAAAAAAAAAAGAAAGAAAAAAGAGUCCUCUGUCGCCAGCAUUCUCCAUCUGUUUUUAACUUGGUGAUGUCCUUUGGAAGCACUAUGGACCAAAGGUUGAGAGAAUAAACCAGAACACAAUCAACUAAUGAUCCUAUACUCUAUUCCCCACCACGUGUCUUUUAAUACUCAGUCCUGUACCAAGACAGAGGUCACAUCUUCUGCAUUGGUGGGUGUUCUAAACCAGGAGAAAAUAUACACAGUGACCCAGAAGAAUUCUAGUAGAUACUCCUCAUUCUCCAGGACUGCUUCCUGCAUCUGUCUGCUGCCUUAAAAAGCAUCUCUGUGUCUCUGACCUUAGAAUAACUGUCUCUGGAAAUGCUGCAGUCAAGAGGGGUGCUCAGGGACAUGAUGACUCAAGCAGGUCCCAGGGCGUGUGUGCGUGAGGGUGUGCAUUCAUGCAGUUAUGUUGGGAGAAUGAAGCAGCCACCAAGUAGCUCCAGAUGUUGACUGAGGAAAAUGCAUUUGGUAUCAGCUCUCGGUGGAAAAGAGGGAAAAGGUAUGGAGCAGCAGCUGACUGAAGCUGGAUCUGUAAAAUAAAUAAAUCUGCUUCCAAGGC